UUUCGAUGUCUCCCCUGCAACGCGUGCUGAAUAAUAAGAGCAAAAUGUGAUACAAAUUUGUCAAAAAACACGGGAUGUGCGAAAUUUGAUAAACUCAAAAACUGUCGUAAAAAGUCAACACCAUGUGUUUAUUUUCAAAAUCUUGGGGGUGUUUUUUACUGUAGGUAGUGUGAAGGGAAAGGAACAAUAAUUUAUUCGCGUCCAGAUGCCCCCAUAAUGAACCAGAACAUCCUUCUUGAGACUGAAGAGCAGUUUAUUUGCCCGUCUAUUAGACAUCACCUGCCCCCGAAAUUAACACCAGAUGAGCCAAAUCAUUCCAGACGCCUCGUAUUGACCAUUUGGCGUGAUAUCUCCGCACUAAUCUGCAUUCGGACCUACGCUUGAUUUUCCCCCGCGUUCAAACACCCCUCGCAUUAACCGGCCGCCCUCUCGAGGGAAAAAGGGCUGAUAAUAACAAUCAAAUUUCAAAACCUUGUUACGACCGAAAUUACAUUUUUUAAACAAA